UUUGACCUCAAAUCAGGUAGGACUACCCGCUGAACUUAAGCAUAUCAUAA
rnacentral:rRNA from 1 species